UUAUAUAUAUAACAAAGAUAAUAUGCAGUUCUAAUUAAAUACAAUAUAAAAUCGUUGCAAAUAAGCAUUAGGUAAAGCACCCUAGCAGUCAAGUUUUGAAAGAGGGGGAGGAUUUGAACCAGCAAGGAUAAACUAGAUUUUCUUUCAUUGUACAAUAAGGCAAGAAAAUGAGAAAAAGUUUGAUGAAGUUUUGUCGCAAAAGGGAUAGAUGAACUUUAUGUGAUCAUUUUCAAAAAAAACUGAUGCAAGUUUAUUUACUUAGGCAACGUUGAAAAAAGAUGGAUGACGUUAAAUGGAACGAUACAUCCCACAAUGCAACAGUAAUUAUUCAACGCCGUGACAACAUCGCUAUUAUCAUCUCAGGAAUCAUCCUCUUUUUCAUCAUUGUGUUUUCCGUCAUUGGAAACGUUGCAGUGAUCAUGGCGAUCAAAACAAACUCACGACUUCGGGAGCAGAUAUCAAACAUUUUCAUCCUAAAUCUAAGUAUUGUUGAUUUGUGUACAGCAAGUCUUAUCAUGAUGACCACAUUCGUGCAACUGGUCACAGAUGCUGACGAAAUGCCAAAAAUAUGGUGCCUUUUAAACUGUGGAUUGAACUAUGUGUUCAUAAUCGCUUCAAUGUCAACACUUGCUUUUGUCAGCAUUGAUCGAUAUAUGGCUAUUAUCCAUCCAAUGAAAUAUGUGACGAUGAUAACAAAACAAAGGGUAGUCGGUAUGGUGAUGUACGGGUGGAUUUUAGGACUUAUAUUUGGUUCGGUGCCGAUUAUUAUGGACUGGAUACAGUAUGAUUAUUGGGAGGUCAUCUGCGCCAUCGACUGGAACUAUCAAGCAGCCGUAAUCUACGUCAUCGCCGCAUUCAUCAUUUGUUUUCUACUCCCAGGGAUCAUCAUGAUCUAUUGCUACUUAAAGAUCAUUAAGGAGGUGAAACGAAUGGAUAAGAGCAUGCCAGCAGCCCCAAGCAUUGGUGACAUAACUGAACUGAAUGGCUCAACACAGAAAAAGACGAGAAAGGAGCAAUCUAAAAGCAAGCACACAAAAAAGACAAUCACAAGUCUCCUCAUCGUCGUGGCCUUUUUCUUCAUAUGUAUGACACCAUUUUGUGUCACUAAACUCCUCAAGGUUGUUCUUGAAAAUACAAACAUGGUGCCUGCCUAUGCUAAUCUUUUUGCGUCAUGGUUUCAAUAUGUUGCGAGUGCAAUUAAUCCGUUAGUCUAUGGGAUUUUCAGGAAAGAUUUCAAAAGGUCUUUCCGCAGGCAGUGUGCUAAGAUUUCUUGUAAUACAAUCAUUUUCCGGGACAGUUCUACCAGCCCUACUAAUGGCGACACCUUUAACUCAAGGACAAGAGACAAACUAAAUUCUUUGACAAAACUAAAUGUGAAAGAAGUAUCGGCUCAAAAUAUGUUGACAACCCCUGUUAUUCAAGCAAAGAAAAAUCAUACAAAUGUGGAAUUACUCGACAUCACAUCAGACAGAAAAACAUCUGCAAGUGACAUCACUGUAGAAGUCAAGGAUGAAAAGCCAACAAAACCUGACGUAAAAACAAUUGACAAUGCAGGAAAAUGUAACAUCAAAGUGUUACAAGUCCAACUUUAUGAUACCCCGUGUGGUCCUUUCACACCGGAAGUACUUACAAAAAAUCGCUCCACCCAAAGUCACCACUACAACGGCGUCCAUCAGAAAACUGCUUUUUCAACGAACAAUGAAAAGAAAAAUUCUGAACUUGGGUUGCCUAUUGCUCAAUGAUGAUAUAGUAGUAUAUUAUAUUUGUAUAAGUAAAUUGAUUGAUCAAAAUAAUAAUUUGUACAGAAAAAUAAUAAAAUUAUUUAUGUAAUAUGUCGCGAUACCUCAA
rnacentral:misc_RNA from 1 species